ACGAACGCUGGCGGCACGCUUAACACAUGCAAGUCGAACGAGAGAAGAGAAGCUUGCUUUUCUGAUCUAGUGGCGGACGGGUGAGUAACACGUGAGCAAUCUGCCUUUCAGAGGGGGAUACCGAUUGGAAACGAUCGUUAAUACCGCAUAAUAUAAUUGAACCGCAUGAUUUGAUUAUCAAAGAUUUAUCGCUGAAAGAUGAGCUCGCGUCUGAUUAGCUAGUUGGUAGGGUAACGGCUUACCAAGGCGACGAUCAGUAGCCGGACUGAGAGGUUGAUCGGCCACAUUGGGACUGAGACACGGCCCAGACUCCUACGGGAGGCAGCAGUGGGGAAUAUUGCACAAUGGAGGAAACUCUGAUGCAGCGAUGCCGCGUGAGGGAAGAAGGUUUUAGGAUUGUAAACCUCUGUCUUCAGGGACGAAAAAAGACGGUACCUGAGGAGGAAGCUCCGGCUAACUACGUGCCAGCAGCCGCGGUAAUACGUAGGGAGCGAGCGUUGUCCGGAAUUACUGGGUGUAAAGGGAGCGUAGGCGGGAUCGCAAGUCAGAUGUGAAAACUAUGGGCUUAACCCAUAAACUGCAUUUGAAACUGUGGUUCUUGAGUGAAGUAGAGGUAAGCGGAAUUCCUAGUGUAGCGGUGAAAUGCGUAGAUAUUAGGAGGAACAUCAGUGGCGAAGGCGGCUUACUGGGCUUUAACUGACGCUGAGGCUCGAAAGCGUGGGGAGCAAACAGGAUUAGAUACCCUGGUAGUCCACGCCGUAAACGAUGAUUACUAGGUGUGGGGGGACUGACCCCUUCCGUGCCGCAGCAAACGCAAUAAGUAAUCCACCUGGGGAGUACGACCGCAAGGUUGAAACUCAAAGGAAUUGACGGGGGCCCGCACAAGCAGUGGAGUAUGUGGAUUAAUUCGAAGCAACGCGAAGAACCUUACCAGGUCUUGACAUCGUAUGCAUAGCUCAGAGAUGAGUGAAAUCUCUUCGGAGACAUAUAGACAGGUGGUGCAUGGUUGUCGUCAGCUCGUGUCGUGAGAUGUUGGGUUAAGUCCCGCAACGAGCGCAACCCUUACUGUUAGUUGCUACGCAAGAGCACUCUAGCAGGACUGCCGUUGACAAAACGGAGGAAGGUGGGGAUGACGUCAAAUCAUCAUGCCCCUUAUGACCUGGGCCUCACACGUACUACAAUGGCUGUUAACAGAGGGAUGCAAAGCCGCGAGGUGGAGCGAACCCCUAAAAGCAGUCUUAGUUCGGAUUGUAGGCUGCAACCCGCCUACAUGAAGUCGGAAUUGCUAGUAAUCGCAGAUCAGCAUGCUGCGGUGAAUACGUUCCCGGGCCUUGUACACACCGCCCGUCACGCCAUGGGAGUCGGUAACACCCGAAGCCUGUAGUCUAACCGCAAGGAGGACGCAGUCGAAGGUGGGAUUGAUGACUGGGGUG
rnacentral:rRNA from 1 species